rnacentral:misc_RNA from 1 species
GAUGAAGAACGUAGCGAAAUGCGAUAAUUAAUGUGAAUUGCAGAAUUCCGUGAAUCAUCGAGUCUUUGAACGCACAUUGCGCCCCUUGGUAUCCCGAGGGGCAUACCUGUUCGAGCGUCAUUUCACCACUCAAGCCUGGCUUGGUGUUGGGCGACGUCCCCUUUGGGGACGCGCCUUGAAACGCUCGGCGGCGUGGCACCGGCUUUAAGCGUAGCAGAAUCUUUCGCUUUGGAAGUCGGGGCCCCGUCUGCCGGAAGACCUACUCGCAAGGUUGACCUCGGAUCAGGCAGGGAUACCCGCUGAACUUAAGCAUAUCAAUAAGCGGAGGA